UGUGUUACAGUCUGCCACAGAUCUCUGCUGCUUCCUUAGGAAAAGCUAGAUUUGCUGAGAAAGUUGACCUGUGCCAGACCUGUGCUCCACAGUGGCCUGUGUUCUUGUACCACUCAUCAUAUGAUGAAGACUCUGCUUUUGUGAAGUCUUUGUGGGGACCUGGCUGCACACAGGUCUAACAAUGCACCUGGCUGGAUCAGGAACAUCCACUUUUUCUCCAAAUGAAAAGUUACACACACAGACAAGUUCAUCUUCAAGAAAACUAAGAGAUCUCUUCCCCUGACAAAAAACAACUCCACAUUUGAUGGGACUCAGACCUGGGCUCUUCUGUCA
rnacentral:lncRNA from 1 species